UCCUUGCAGACCCAGAGCCAUGGGUCUGCAGAAAACUGUCUAUAGUCACCAGCAUGACGAUGAUUAAUAGCAAUCCUGGAGUAGUGGUUCUAGACAAAUGGCACCGACAUGGAGGCCACAGGGCAGAAAUGUAAUGUGAGCAUUGAGUCACAGGCUGGCUCCUAGGUAAGUUCCAGUUACUGCUGGGUUAGGAGGACAGAUGGGGCUGUAAAGAUCCCAGAGUCU